rnacentral:rRNA from 1 species
AUUGAACGCUGGCGGCAGGCUUAACACAUGCAAGUCGAGCGGAGCGAGGGUGCUUGCACCUUAGCUUAGCGGCGGACGGGUGAGUAAUGCUUAGGAAUCUGCCUAUUAGUGGGGGACAACAUUCCGAAAGGGAUGCUAAUACCGCAUACGCCCUACGGGGGAAAGCAGGGGAUCUUCGGACCUUGCGCUAAUAGAUGAGCCUAAGUCGGAUUAGCUAGUUGGUGGGGUAAAGGCCUACCAAGGCGACGAUCUGUAGCGGGUCUGAGAGGAUGAUCCGCCACACUGGGACUGAGACACGGCCCAGACUCCUACGGGAGGCAGCAGUGGGGAAUAUUGGACAAUGGGGGGAACCCUGAUCCAGCCAUGCCGCGUGUGUGAAGAAGGCCUUUUGGUUGUAAAGCACUUUAAGCGAGGAGGAGGCGCUCUAGGAUAAUACCCUAGAUGCGUGGACGUACUCGCAGAAUAA